CGAACGCUGGCGGCGUGCUUAACACAUGCACGUCGAACGGAAAGGCCCUGCUUUUGUGGGGUGCUCGAGUGGCGAACGGGUGAGUAACACGUGAGUAACCUGCCCUUGACUUUGGGAUAACUUCAGGAAACUGGGGCUAAUACCGGAUAGGAGCUCCUGCUGCAUGGUGGGGGUUGGAAAGUUUCGGCGGUUGGGGAUGGACUCGCGGCUUAUCAGCUUGUUGGUGGGGUAGUGGCUUACCAAGGCUUUGACGGGUAGCCGGCCUGAGAGGGUGACCGGCCACAUUGGGACUGAGAUACGGCCCAGACUCCUACGGGAGGCAGCAGUGGGGAAUAUUGCACAAUGGGCGGAAGCCUGAUGCAGCAACGCCGCGUGCGGGAUGACGGCCUUCGGGUUGUAAACCGCUUUCGCCUGUGACGAAGCGUGAGUGACGGUAAUGGGUAAAGAAGCACCGGCUAACUACGU
rnacentral:rRNA from 1 species